rnacentral:sRNA from 2 species
GGUCAUCGGCAAACGCACUCCUCCUCCCAGUGUUUGUCGACGGGACCAACAACACCUCCUCCUCCCAGUUGUUGGUCAGUAUCUGAAGCCCGGCGUAUCCUCCUCCCACGCCGGGCUUCUUCC